rnacentral:rRNA from 1 species
CGAACCGGGUGAGUAACACGUGGGCAACCUGCCCAAANAGGGGAGUAACACUUGGAAACAGGUGCUAAUACCGCAUAACCAUAGUUACCGCAUGGUAACUAUGUAAAAGGUGGCUAUGCUACCGCUUUUGGAUGGGCCCGCGGCGCAUUAGCUAGUUGGUGGGGUAAAGGCUUACCAAGGCAAUGAUGCGUAGCCGAACUGAGAGGUUGAUCGGCCACAUUGGGACUGAGACACGGCCAAACUCCUACGGGAGGCAGCAG